CGGUGUUCAACUGGCGUGUCCGCGGGACGUCCUGCCGGUGGGCUUAGCCCGCAAGGGCGGCCCAACUUCAAAUCCCAUCGCGGUGCUCUUCACUGAGUGUCGAGGUGGGCCGGCACGUUUACUUUGAACAAAUUAGAGUGCUUAAAGCAGGCUAAAACUUCGCCUGAAUACUGUGUGCAUGGAAUAAUGGAAUAGGACCUCGGUUCUAUUUUGUUGGUUUUCGGAACCCCGAGGUAAUGAUUAAUAGGAACGGAUGGGGGCAUUCGUAUUGCGACGUUAGAGGUGAAAUUCUUGGAUCGUCGCAAGACGGACAGAAGCGAAAGCAUUUGCCAAAAACGCUUUCAUUGAUCAAGAACGAAAGUUAGAGGUUCGAAGGCGAUCAGAUACCGCCCUAGUUCUAACCAUAAACGAUGCCAGCUAGCGAUCCGUCGACGUUCCUCCGAUGACUCGACGGGCAGCUUCCGGGAAACCAAAGCUUUUGGGUUCCGGGGGAAGUAUGGUUGCAAAGCUGAAACUUAAAGGAAUUGACGGAAGGGCACCACCAGGAGUGGAGCCUGCGGCUUAAUUUGACUCAACACGGGAAACCUCACCAGGCCCGGACACCGGAAGGAUUGACAGAUUGAGAGCUCUUUCUUGAUUCGGUGGGUGGUGGUGCAUGGCCGUUCUUAGUUGGUGGAGCGAUUUGUCUGGUUAAUUCCGAUAACGAACGAGACUCUAGCCUGCUAACUAGGCGUAUUUUCGACAUCUCAAAGGUCCGUCGUCCCGGCCCUCGGGUCGUGGGCGUGCGCGAUUUUUACUGUCGGCGUACUAUCAAUUCUUCUAGAGGGACAGGUGGCUUCUAGCCGCACGAGAUUGAGCAAUAACAGGUCUGUGAUG
rnacentral:rRNA from 1 species